UCGGGAAUUUUGGGCAAUGGGCGAAAGCCUGACCCAGCAACGCCGCGUGAGGGAUGAAGUAUUUCGGUAUGUAAACCUCGAAAGAAUGGGAAGAAUAAAUGACGGUACCAUUUACAAGCUCCGGCUAACUACGUGCCAGCAGCCGCGGUAAUACGUAGGCAGCAAGCGUUGUUCGGAGUUACUGGGCGUAAAGAGUGCGUAGGCGGUUUUCUAAGUUCGGUGUGAAAUCUCCCGGCUUAACUGGGAGGGUGCGCCGAAGACUGGGAAGCUGGAGUGUGGGAAAGGCAGGCGGAAUUCCUGGUGUAGCGGUGAAAUGCGUAGAUAUCAGGAGGAACACCGGCGGUGUAGACGGCUUGCUAGACCAUAACUGACGCUGAGGCACGAAAGCGUGGGUAGCAAACA
rnacentral:rRNA from 1 species